rnacentral:rRNA from 1 species
CCUACGGGUGGCUGCAGUGGGGAAUAUUGCACAAUGGGCGCAAGCCUGAUGCAGCCAUGCCGCGUGUGUGAAGAAGGCCUUCGGGUUGUAAAGCACUUUCAGCGGGGAGGAAGGCGUUAAGGUUAAUAACCUUGGCGAUUGACGUUACCCGCAGAAGAAGCACCGGCUAACUCCGUGCCAGCAGCCGCGGUAAUACGGAGGGUGCAAGCGUUAAUCGGAAUUACUGGGCGUAAAGCGCACGCAGGCGGUCUGUCAAGUCGGAUGUGAAAUCCCCGGGCUCAACCUGGGAACUGCAUUCGAAACUGGCAGGCUAGAGUCUUGUAGAGGAGGGUAGAAUUCCAGGUGUAGCGGUGAAAUGCGUAGAGAUCUGGAGGAAUACCGGUGGCGAAGGCGGCCCCCUGGACAAAGACUGACGCUCAGGUGCGAAAGCGUGGGGAGCAAACAGGAUUAGAUACCCCAGUAGUC